CUUUCUUGCAAAACCAGGCUGCUUUUAGACAGCUCUGCUAAAUUUCAAAACACACGGUGUUAUCUGAUUGGUUACAAACAACUGUCCCCGCGCUUAAACGUCAGAAUAACCGCUCAACAGGUCAGUUGACAAGGAGGAACCUUAUCAGAUGCUCAUAAGCUCUCUCAGCUCCUGAAACAAGAUGGCUUCAUUCAAACUGCCUUCUGAGAAUAACUCCUGGGUCUCCCUCUAUGUUGAAUUCUAUCCAGUAUAUACAUGUUUUGGGAGAUGGAGGAGCCGAUUCACUGGAAAGCAGAUCCAACUCUUGAAUUAUGUCUCUAAGGACCUCAGAUUGGUCAGUGCAUGGGAAUUCAGAGUGCUGGAAUGGUAUAAAGACUGCAUGGUGCUCUGCCAGUGUGUUGACUGAGGGGGACACAGCUGACACAUCUGACCCAAAGAAUAUUCUAUACCGUAUGACAUAGUACUCAGCAAUAAAAGCUGGAAAGAGGACAUUCGGAGUUACAAUGCUUGAAUAACCAAGUAAACAUUACAUGUGAUAAAGCUGAACACCUGUCUGUUGAUGGGAAAUAGUGAAUGAAUUCUUUAUUUUGCUUGGCUUCUCUAUGCAGAUUUUACUUUACCUAUUAAACUGUCUUUAUCUGAACUCAUGUAUUUUUGCUUUUCAAAUUCUCUCCCUCGUCCCGCUGUGGGGAAGUGAGUGAGCGGCUGUGUUGGGCUUAUUUGCCUACUGGGUUUAACUCACAAUACAUGCCUUAAGUUAUUUGAGUAAUAUUGCUUGAGUGAUAACAUAAGCAUUUGUAAGUUUGAUGUAAAUGAAAAUAAUUUGACUAUCUAUUUGGAUUAAUUCAUCAAUAAAAAUUAUGAAGCACUUAGGAAAAUGAUAGAAAUUAAUAUUUAAAAUUGGCAAGUAAAGAAUUUCAGCGGGAAAAUGUUAUGCAGAAAUUAACAAAGGAAUUAACCAAUGACAGUAAUAUAGAGGGGAAAGUUCACUUCCCUCAAUCUGC